rnacentral:rRNA from 1 species
UACCAGCACCCCGAGUGGUCGGGACGUUUAUUGGGCCUAAAGCAUCCGUAGCCGGUUCUACAAGUCUUCCGUUAAAUCCAACUGCUUAACAGGUGGGCUGCGGAAGUUACUAUAGAGCUAGGAGGCGGGAGAGGCAAGCGGUACUCGAUGGGUAGGGGUAAAAUCCGUUGAUCCAUUGAAGACCACCAGUGGCGAAGGCGGCUUGCCAGAACGCGCUCGACGGUGAGGGAUGAAAGCUGGGGGAGCAAACCGG